GACGAACGCUGGCGGCGUGCCUAACACAUGCAAGUCGAACGGAGAUACGAUUUCGGUUGUAUCUUAGUGGCGAACGGGUGAGUAACGCGUGAGCAACCUGACUCUUAGAGGGGGAUAACACUCGGAAACGGGUGCUAAUACCGCAUAAGACCACGACAUGGCAUCAUGACGAGGUCAAAGGAGCAAUCCGCUGAGAGAGGGGCUCGCGUUCCAUUAGAUAGAUGGCGGGGUGACGGCCCACCAUGUCCGCGAUGGGUAGCCGAGCUGAGAGGCUGAUCGGCCACACUGGAACUGAGACACGGUCCAGACUCCUACGGGAGGCAGCAGUGGGGAAUAUUGGGCAAUGGGCGCAAGCCUGACCCAGCAACGCCGCGUGAGGGAAGAAGGCUUUCGGGUUGUAAACCUCUGUCCUUGGUGACGAAAAAAAUGACGGUAGCCAAGGAGGAAGCCCCGGCUAACUACGUGCCAGCCGCCGCCGUAA
rnacentral:rRNA from 1 species